CACCUUCCCUGGGGGCCAGAAUGAGUGGCUAAUUAGCCAGUAACAGGAGGGGGAGGUAGGGAGAAGUAGCCCAAACUGUGGGGGAAGCGAAUGCUUGAAUGGACUGAGAUAGUGAAGUUUUGAUUUAAUGUUGGGAGAAGGGAAAUCCACUAAUGGAGAGAUUUGAGAAGAAAGAAGAAGUAUGUAGCAGUUAAUGGAGUUUGGAAAGAAAUCUUGAAAGAAGCCAGCAAGCAGUGUUGAUAAGAAGAAGCAAUGAUAAAAGUUCAGGGGUGUGGAUAAAGCCGAGAGGAUAGCAAGGGUGGAGUCUGGAGAGGUCCACACAGAGGGGUCAAUAAUUUUAAAGAUGAAGGAGAUGGGGAAGACAAGGGAAGGGGGAACAAUGGUACUGUUGACAGAACUACUUUGUCCUAAAAUUUCUAUUGUAAAUUUGAUGUGUUGGUAUCAACCUG
rnacentral:lncRNA from 1 species